UGGGGAAUUUUGGACAAUGGGCGAAAGCCUGAUCCAGCCAUGCCGCGUGAGUGAAGAAGGCCUUCGGGGUGUAAAGCUCUUUUAAUCGGAAAGAAAGAGUUGCAAUGAAUAAUUGUGAUUUAUGACGGUACCGACAGAAAAAGCACCGGCUAACUACGUGCCAGCAGCCGCGGUAAUACGUAGGGUGCGAGCGUUAAUCGGAAUUACUGGGCGUAAAGGGUGCGCAGGCGGUCUUGCAAGUCAGAUGUGAAAGCCCCGGGCUUAACCUGGGAAUUGCGUUUGAAACUACAAGACUAGAGUGCAGCAGAGGGGAGUGGAAUUCCAUGUGUAGCAGUGAGAUGCGUAGAGAUGUGGAAGAACACCGAUGGCGAAGGCAGCUCCCUGGGUUGACACUGACGCUCAUGCACGAAAGCGUGGGGAGCAAACA
rnacentral:rRNA from 1 species